GCAUGGUAAUGGAUUUAUGGCAGGUCCUUCUCUAUGGGCCUUUCAUAGUGUACCCAUGCCAGAAUAAACUAGCCUCGAACCAUUGCCCAGCCUCAAUACCCAUGGGCUGUGAGCACUGAAGGGGGUUGUACAAUG
ensembl:snoRNA